rnacentral:rRNA from 1 species
UGCCUAAUACAUGCAAGUCGAGCGAAUGGAUUGAGAGCUUGCUCUCAAGAAGUUAGCGGCGGACGGGUGAGUAACACGUGGGUAACCUGCCCAUAAGACUGGGAUAACUCCGGGAAACCGGGGCUAAUACCGGAUAACAUUUUGAACUGCAUGGUUCGAAAUUGAAAGGCGGCUUCGGCUGUCACUUAUGGAUGGACCCGCGUCGCAUUAGCUAGUUGGUGAGGUAACGGCUCACCAAGGCAACGAUGCGUAGCCGACCUGAGAGGGUGAUCGGCCACACUGGGACUGAGACACGGCCCAGACUCCUACGGGAGGCAGCAGUAGGGAAUCUUCCGCAAUGGACGAAAGUCUGACGGAGCAACGCCGCGUGAGUGAUGAAGGCUUUCGGGUCGUAAAACUCUGUUGUUAGGGAAGAACAAGUGCUAGUUGAAUAAGCUGGCACCUUGACGGUACCUAACCAGAAAGCCACGGCUAACUACGUGCCAGCAGCCGCGGUAAUACGUAGGUGGCAAGCGUUAUCCGGAAUUAUUGGGCGUAAAGCGCGCGCAGGUGGUUUCUUAAGUCUGAUGUGAAAGCCCACGGCUCAACCGUGGAGGGUCAUUGGAAACUGGGGAGACUUGAGU